rnacentral:rRNA from 1 species
UACGUAGGGACCGAGCGUUGUCCGGAAUCAUUGGGCGUAAAGAGCGUGUAGGCGGCCUGUUAAGUCUUGCGUGAAAUCUCGGGGCUCAACCCCGAGCGGUCGUGAGAAACUGGCAGGCUAGAGUGCGGGAGAGGAGAGUGGAAUUCAUGGUGUAGCAGUGAAAUGCGUAGAGAUCAUGAGGAAGACCAGUGGCGAAGGCGGGUCUCUGGACAGUUCCUGACACUGAGACACGAAGGCCAGGGGAGCAAACGGG